UACGGAGGAUCCGAGCGUUAUCCGGAUUUAUUGGGUUUAAAGGGAGCGUAGGUGGAUUGUUAAGUCAGUUGUGAAAGUUUGCGGCUCAACCGUAAAAUUGCAGUUGAUACUGGGUUUCUUGAGUGCAGUAGAGGUAGGCGGAAUUCGUGGUGUAGCGGUGAAAUGCUUAGAUAUCACGAAGAACUCCGAUUGCGAAGGCAGCUUACUGGACUGUAACUGACGCUGAAGCACGAAAGCGUGGGGAUCAAACAGG
rnacentral:rRNA from 1 species